GACGAACGCUGGCGGCGUGCCUAAUACAUGCAAGUAGGACGCAGUUGCGAACGGGUGAGUAACGCGUAGGUAACUACCUAUUAGAGGGGGAUAACUAUUGGACACGCUAGCUAAUACCGCAUACUCGUAGAUGGACCUGCGUUGUAUUAGCUAGUAGGUAGGGUAAUGGCCUACCUAGGCAACGGUACAUAGCCGACAUGAGAGGGGGAUCGUGCACACUGGUACUGAGCCACGGCCCAGACUCCGACGGGAGGCAGCAGUAGGGAAGCUGCGGCAAGUGGGGGACACCUGACCAAGCAACGCCGCGUGAGUGAAGAAGGUUGUCGGAUCGUAGAGCUCUGUUGUUAAGGAAGCGGUACUUAACCAGAAAGGGACGGCUAACUACGUGCCAGCAGCCGCGGUAAUUC
rnacentral:rRNA from 1 species